AGCGAACGCUGGCGGCAGGCCUUACACAUGCAAGUCGAACGGUAACAGGUCUUCGGAUGCUGACGAGUGGCGAACGGGUGAGUAAUACAUCGGAACGUGCCUAGUAGUGGGGGAUAACUACUCGAAAGAGUGGCUAAUACCGCAUGAGAUCUACGGAUGAAAGCAGGGGAUCGCAAGACCUUGUGCUACUAGAGCGGCCGAUGGCAGAUUAGGUAGUUGGUGGGAUAAAAGCUUACCAAGCCGACGAUCUGUAGCUGGUCUGAGAGGACGAUCAGCCACACUGGGACUGAGACACGGCCCAGACUCCUACGGGAGGCAGCAGUGGGGAAUUUUGGACAAUGGGCGAAAGCCUGAUCCAGCAAUGCCGCGUGCAGGAUGAAGGCCUUCGGGUUGUAAACUGCUUUUGUACGGAACGAAAAGCCCCGGGUUAAUACCCUGGGGUCAUGACGGUACCGUAAGAAUAAGCACCGGCUAACUACGUGCCAGCCGCCGCAGUAA
rnacentral:rRNA from 1 species